GGGUGCGAUCAUACCAGCACUAAUGCACCGGAUCCCUUCAGAACUCCGAAGUUAAAAGUGCUUGGGCGUUAGUAGUUCUAAGAUGGGUGACCUCUUGGGAAGUCCUCGUGUUGCACCCC
rfam:Ricinus communis cultivar Hale ctg_1100012288414, whole genome shotgun sequence.